rnacentral:rRNA from 1 species
GGGAGCCUACGGGGGGCAGCAGUGAGGAAUAUUGGUCAAUGGGCGCGAGCCUGAACCAGCCAAGUAGCGUGAAGGAUGACUGCCCUACGGGUUGUAAACUUCUUUUAUAAAGGAAUAAAGUGAGGCACGUGUGCCUUUUUGUAUGUAUUUUAUGAAUAAGGAUCGGCUAACUCCGUGCCAGCAGCCGCGGUAAUACGGAGGAUCCGAGCGUUAUCCGGAUUUAUUGGGUUUAAAGGGAGCGUAGAUGGGUGGUUAAUUCAGUUGUGAAAGUUUGCGGCUCAACCGUAAAAUUGCACUUGAGACUG